rnacentral:lncRNA from 1 species
GGGACUACGCGGUGACGUCGAGGUGCGCGGCGCAGCGCGCGGCGUCAGUCUUGGCUGGCAGACCUGUACUCCGUACUCCGUACUUCGUAGUCGCAGCGGCGCGGUCUUCGGCAGUCUAGUCAUCCACCGCCAUCCUGGGCCCCACGUGUUGCCUGACCAUUCCUGAGCCCAGGUGGGAGCCGUGGCUGAGGUGACGGUCUCAAAGUGGAAGAGCUUACUGUCACAGCAACUCCUUUGCAAGAUGCCCCGUGUCCAUGAAACUGGGAGGCGACCGUGUUAGCUGCCAGUUCCUGACAGCCACCUCUCACCAGUGGCUUCACUCUGUGUCCCUGACCCAGCACAUGGCACAAGAGUGCCUGCCAUCCGUCAGUGUUUCUACAGCAGCAAUCCCAAGAUGCUGGAGCUAGAGGGGACCUGACCUGAGAGAAGAUACCUUCAGUGGCUGCCAGGCUGUUCCUUGGAACCUGUGCAGGGAUGAGGCCUGCCUGUGUUAAUACACCUAGUGAGGAGUGGAGCUGAAUUUGAAUGCAAGCCUUGGCACCUUAAUUGAGCAAGUUUGAAACCUCGCUUGUUGCCCUUCUGGAAGGAGUCAGGAAUUUCCAGUUCUGGGCCUGGGCUGUGGGUCUGGCAGACAGACCUCUGGCCCUAGGUUUGGGUGCCAGGUUCUCUGCUUCCAGAAUGAGAAGCUUUGCUGUGCACCAGGACCUGGGCCCUUCUGGUAUCUCCUGAAUGAAAAACAAGGGAUAUUUAAUAAAUAUGGAUUUAAAUAUGUGA